rnacentral:rRNA from 1 species
GAUGAACGCUAGCGGCAGGCUUAAUACAUGCAAGUCGAGGGGCAGCGGGGGUAGCAAUACCUGCCGGCGACCGGCAAACGGGUGAGGAACAUGUACGCAACCUUCCUUUAACUGGAGGAUAGCCCCUCGAAAGAGGGAUUAAUACUCCGUAAUAUAAUGAAGUGGCAUCACUUUAUUAUUAUAGCUCCGGCGGUUAAAGAUGGGCGUGCAGCUGAUUAGAUAGUUGGCGGGGUAACGGCCCACCAAGUCUACGAUCAGUAACUGGUGUGAGAGCACGACCAGUCACACGGGCACUGAGACACGGGCCCGACUCCUACGGGAGGCAGCAGUAAGGAAUAUUGGUCAAUGGACGCAAGUCUGAACCAGCCAUGCCGCGUGAAGGAUUAAGGCCCUCUGGGUUGUAAACUUCUUUUAUAUGGGAAGAAAUGUACUUUUUCUAAAGUGCUUGACGGUACCAUAGGAAUAAGCACCGGCUAACUCC